rnacentral:rRNA from 1 species
GUGAGGAAUUUUCCGCAAUGGGCGAAAGCCUGACGGAGCAAUGCCGCGUGAAGGAUGAUGGCCUAUGGGUUGUAAACUUCUUUUCUCAGAAAAGAAUUAUGACGGUAUCUGAGGAAUAAGCAUCGGCUAACUCUGUGCCAGCAGCCGCGGUAAGACAGAGGAUGCAAGCGUUAUCCGGAAUGAUUGGGCGUAAAGCGUCUGUAGGUUGUUUAAAAAGUAUUCUGUCAAAGAUUAGGGCUUAACCCUAGAUAGGCAGAAUAAACUUUUAAGCUAGAAUUUGGUAGAGGCAGAGGGAAUUCCCGGUGGAGCGGUGAAAUGCGUAGAUAUCGGGAGGAACACCAAAGGCGAAGGCACUCUGCUGGGCCAAUACUAACACUGAGAGACGAAAGCGAGGGGAGCAAAUGGGAUUAGAAACCCCGGUAGUCC